ACUCCUACGGGAGGCAGCAGUGGGGAAUCUUGCGCAAUGGGCGAAAGCCUGACGCAGCCAUGCCGCGUGGAUGAUGAAGGUCUUAGGAUUGUAAAAAUCCUUUCACCGGGGACGAUAAUGACGGUACCCGGAGAAGAAGCCCCGGCUAACUUCGUGCCAGCAGCCGCGGUAAUACGAAGGGGGCUAGCGUUGCUCGGAAUUACUGGGGCGUAAAGGGCGCGUAGGCGGACAGUUAAGUUGGGGGUGAAAGCCCGGGGGCUCAACCUCGGAAUUGCCUUCAAUACUGGCUGUCUUGAGUACGGGGAGAGGUGAGUGGAACUCCGAGUGUAGAGGUGAAAUUCGUAGAUAUUCGGAAGAACACCAGUGGCGAAGGCGACUCACUGGCCCGUUACUGACGCUGAGGCGCGAAAGCGUGGGGAGCAAACAGGAUUAGAUACCCUGGUAGGAUAGCG
rnacentral:rRNA from 1 species